rnacentral:lncRNA from 1 species
UUUUUUUUUUUUUUGCUCAUCUGAAGUUCGGCAUAUUUUAUUGGCAUGUCUUGUAAGGCUAAAGAUAAAACAAUGUGGGGUCUCUUUUAUUGGCAUGUUUCUGUCUUGGUAAGCAUGCAUCAAACAGGCCUAGGUUGGUUAGAACAAGGUGUGGCGGUCAAGAGAUGAUGCUGUAAGAUUAUUAGACUGCUGUUAUUUCUAGUCUGCAUGCAUUUCUGGCCGGACCAGCUGGUUAACUGAUGCGGCACUGUGUCAGCGAAACUGGGGCAAUAUUUUCAAUUUUUCAUUGUUGUAUACUAUUGUUACACAUACGAUUUCAUAGUUUGGCAAGUAUCACAGAAUUUGUGGUUAAGUCAUUUGUGAAUAAUGUUUAGUUUCCCGCUUGGCAUGUUUCUUUACAUCAAUCAAUCAGAUUCACCGCCGUUGGCCAGAGUUGCGCCUAAUUCAUACUGAUGUUAAGGAUAAACUCUCUGUUUUCUAAUAGGUCAGACUGGAUUCUAUGUUCUGUCCAUGCCCUGUUCACUGGCAUUGCCUCUUGAUUCCCCUCUUAAAGUAGAAGAUCCACACUAAGCAUAGCAAGUCCACUAGAGGAGCAAAUGUUGUUUAUCACCGCAUCUCUUCUCAUGUUGACAAGCAAGCCCGAUAUCUAUGAAGGUACACCUUUGUGCUCGGUGGUAAACCUGUUUCUUUUUCAGUUAUGUUCAGCACUGCCUUGAUCAUUUUGUAUUAUUAUUUUAGUAUUUUGCUCUGCAUUAAGAUUUAUGCAUGGUCUGGUUCUUAGAAGAAUAUACUGUUGGUUUGUCGAUGAUUUUUCCUUGUUUGAUUUGACAUUAAUUUAACAAUGAGUACUUAAAUUCUGAAUUCUGGAGUGCAUGGCAGCUAUAUAGAUCCAUUAUAAUUUGGUUUGACCUAUGCCGCAGAAAUAAGCUUCAUGCUUCUCUCAACAUACCAGGCACUGUACAAGGCGGCGACGGCGUACCCGCUCAGUACCUGCAGCCCUUGGUAGGACAGGAAAAGAUGCUGAGCUUCUCGGCCUUGACGACGUCCUCGUGCCUCUCUCUAAAAUGGCAGAUCUGUUUUGUUUCUCUGGUGGGACUGCAGUUCUUCCGAAGCUUUGCUUUUCGAUAUGACAUGUUUAUACUUUAGUUAUGCUUCUCAAGCAGCAUUUGAAUGGUUCUCAGACUACUUUCUCUUGUGAUCGCCUUAGCGAUGAGGAGAUUCGAGUGCAUCUUAAUUAUUGACACCUCAUUCUAUGACAAGCUCGGCAAGAAAGGCGGCAGCUGACGGGAGGAUGUACCGAGGCCUGCGGCGGAGUCAGGUGUGUGUGCUCGGUGGUUUCAGUUUCAUAAUUCCCAUUACACCUAGCCUCUGUUCGCUCAAUCUUUGAGAAUGUUUGUCUGUCAUUGCAUUGUUGAGUACGUGCACCAGGAUGGAAAGCAGCGAGCAACGGUGCAUAGUUCAUGGAAGCCUGCUGUUUCUCCUCGCCAAGGUCCGCGCAGAUAGAGGCGCUCAUGCAGGAAAGAGACGAGGGAGCAGUCAGCUGAACGUUGGCUCCCAUGAAGUUGAUUGAUUGUGCCUCCGCUUUUGUGCCGCUUGCGUUGCUUUUGAACCACUGUCAUUUGUGUCAUUGGUGAUGUAAACUAUAAGGACAUAUAAAUAAUAUCUAUGACUCCUAAGGCUGUUCUCUUUAUCUCCUGUUUUCAUUGUUGUGUACUCCCUCUGUUCCAAAAUAUAAGAACGCUUUUCACACUACACUAGUGUCAAAAACGUUCUUAUAUUAUGGGACGGAGGGAGUACUUGUUACUUUUCGAGUCAGAACCAUGCAAUAACGUGAAAGGGGCGCGCUCAACCUGGCAGCGCCCAGCUUUCUCUGAGGCGGCGUGCCAUGGGCGCGCCCCAACCGCUAAUACAGAUUCAAGUGAACGCCAAUGGAGUAGUAUCCCAUUUAAUUGACUGUGACACAGGUUUCGACUUGUCUGCAUUUUUCAAGGUAUUAUAUUAACUCCUCUCAGCAAGCUUUUAUCGAAGGGCGUAGAAUUAGUGAUAACAUUAUAAUUACGCAAGAAAUCACUCAUUCAUUUGCCCUUAAUCCUUGGAAACAACAGGCCUUCAUGCUUAAAAUUGAUCUUGCUAAAGCUUUCGAUCGUAUUGAAUGGAAUUUUAUCGUUUCAGCUCUCUCACGUAAAGGGUUGCAUGCUCACUUCAUUAAUCUUAUCUAUGCGUGCAUUUCUACUCCAAUUUUUUCUGUCAUCAUUAAUGGCCAAGCAACUCAGAGAUUUAAAAGUGAUAGGGGUAUAAAACAGGGUUGUCCUCUUUCUCCCUAUCUUUUUGUGCUUGCUAUCAAUGAACUUUCUCUUGCUCUCAAUGAUGCUAUGGCUGCUAACAAUCUUGAAGGCAUCAUGCUUGGACCAAAUUGCCCUCCAGUCCAUUCCUUACUUUUUGCAGAUGAUCUACUGGUGUGUGGAAAAGCUAGCUUGCAGGAAGCUCGUACCAUGGCUCAUAUCAUUCACCAUUUUUGCGCUUCUUCAGGUCAGACUCCAAACUGGUCCAAGUCUUCCAUACUUUUCAGUGCUCAGGUUAACCAAUGUGUUGUCUCAGAUAUUAAAAGCAUCUUUCCUGUUCCUGCCAUGGAUGAGAACUUCACCCACCUAGGACACCCUUUGAUUCUCCCUGCCAAGAAUAGAACUAUUGCUUACAAUUUUGUUCUGGAUAAAUUUAUGGCUAAACUUCCUUGUUAUAAGGCUAAUAUGCUUUCUCAUGCGGCUAGAUUGGAGCUCAUUAGAUCUGUUUUUUCGGCCAUUCCGGUUUAUUAUAUGUCUAAUAUUUUGUUCACCAAGAAAUUUAUUGCCAAACUUUCUGCUAUCAUUAGAACCUUUUGGUGGACAGGAAUCAGAGAAGAUAAUCCUACUAGAAGUCUUUGUCUCAGGGCCUGGAAAGACAUCUGCACGUCAAAAAAAGAGGGUGGCUUGGGAAUAAGAAACCUUCAAGCCAUGAAUCAAGGUCUUAUCCUAGCCUCUGCUUGGAGAAUUGCCAACUCUCCCAGUUCACAUCUGCAUCUUGUUCUUAAGUCCAAAUAUUUUUGGGACUCUUCUUUUUGGACUGCCACCUCUAGCGCUCCAAAAUCGGCCUUCUGGUCCUCCAUUCUCAGGAUGCUCCCUAAACUCAAAGCUCACUCCUUCUAUCAGAUCACUCAAGGAAAAAUUUCCAUUUGGAGUACUCCCUGGUGCCCAGCUUGGACUGAUAUCUACAAUCAUCUCAUUAUUCAACCUACAAACUUUACUUGUCCUGCUCAAGUCAAAGAUCUUUGGCUCCAAGGACAGAAAGCCUGGAACAAUGUUCUCAUCUAUUCUCUUUUUCAAGAACCCACAGCCUCUGUUAUUACUCAAACCAAGAUCAUUCAAGAUGAUUGUGAUGAUAUUCUUUGCUGGGAUCUCACGCCUAAUGGUAAGUGUAACACCAAAAGUACUUACAAACUGUGCUUGCAGGACAUUCAAAGCCAACCAAGAAAUCAGCCUACACAGAUUUCUCACCUUGUGAAAGAUUUGCUUAAUCAAGUCUGGAAGCAAAAGCAUAUGGUCCCAAGGGUCCAAACAUUUGCAUGGAGACUUCUUAGAAAAGCUCUUCCUACAGGUUGCAGAGCUAGCCGUUUUUCUAGGCAUAUUACUAAAGCAUGUUGUCGUUGUUCGCAAGAUGAGGAUGAAAUGCAUCUUUUUUUCCUAUGUCCGUUUGUGAGAGCAUCUUGGUUUGCUCAUCCUUGGUAUCUUAGGACAGAUCUUCUUACAGAGAAUCAUCAUUCUAUGCAAAAUAUUAUUUAUGCUUUGCUCAAUAUGAAUCACCCUUAUGCAUCGAUCCCAAACGUUUUCAACUUCUUAUGGUGCAUUUGGAAAUCAAGAAAUGAUUGUCUUUUUGCUAGGAAAUGUACUUUCCCUCAUCAGGUACAUCUUGCUGCACUGGCUAUGGUUGAAUGCAACUCUGUCCAUGAGGUUCCUCCUGACAAUCCUAAUUCUACUCUCCAUGCUCAUAUUAACAGGGACAAUAGUUUGGUGCUACAACAAGGCUGCACCAUUAGGUCUGAUCUUCUAAUCUCAGGAGCCAAAAUAUUCUCUGACGCUUCUUUCAAAUGUUCAAAAAUUCCAGGUUUAUCAAAUGGAGAUGCAACUACGGGCAUUGGAGUUUUUCUCAAUUUUUUGCAGGACAAUAGAAGUAUCCAAGUUCAAAUUCAAGCAUCCGCACCACUAACUUCGUCACCUCUACAAGCAGAAGCACAAGCUCUUCUUCUUGCUGCCAAAGCAUCACAGAUCUUACAAGUCGAGCAGCCGACGUUUCUCAUCGACAAUCUUUCUCUUGCCAAGGCGGCGGCGAACAGGAAUGUAACAGCAGAUUCCACUCCUUGGAUGAUUAGAGAAUCUCUUGCUAAUUUCUACAGGACUACCCAAAAUCUUCAGCCGCAGGUGUUCCAUAUAUCUAGAGAAAUAAAUGGGAUCGCACACAAUGUAGCUCAUCAGGUUCUUAGUCGCUCUUUGGAACCUGUUUAUAGUUGUUUCGGGUCAGCUUACAGGAACAGAAUAUGCCCUGUCAUUUCUACUCUUUCUACCUUAAAUUUACAGGGUUUUGUACUCCAUGUUGGUAUGGUAAAGGAAAAUAUUGAUAAAAUAGCUCUAGCUCUGAAGAGUCUAAACUGACGCAUAUGAAAAAAUGGCUGAGAUUGCACCUUCUAUCUACUCUGGCCCUACCCAAUUUAGUUUUACAAACCAAAGCAUAAGAAAACAGCAGAAGAAAAAUCGAGCUUGUAAAUUUAAAAUAUGGUUUGACACAAGGCAUGUUUCUUAUUUCAAGCUAUGCCACUGAAGAAUAGGGACGCCAAACAGAAUAUAGUCUGCACCAUAUUAUAUUAUGCUCCAGUGCAGCAGAAAAUUUACAUCAGACUAAUUAGGCUCAUUUUUCAAACUCCUGAGCUUGCAACAUUGCACCCCCUGCCAUAAUACAAACUAGACAUACUGAUUAGAACCUACACCUUAUCCAUCGAGUUUCACACUGACAAAAACAACAUCACAUUUAUCAUCCAAUGCUAAGCUAACAUCAUUCAAACACAUGGAAGGUUCUACAACGGGAAAGCAUAGAGAUCAGAACUGCAGUCCACAGAGUAGACAGUAUCAGAAAUAGCAAAAAAUUCAGUCGCUUCCAGGACUAUUACAAGUGGAGCAUGCACACCUAUAGAUUGUGUUGCCAGAGCUCCAAGCAAAUUUCCUGCCAAAAACUCCAUCGUCAUGAUUCUUAUCACUCGUCUCAAAUCAAAACAAAAAACCAUCGGCAAUGGGCUAAACUUUGACAGUGAGGUCUUAUGGUAACCAGCUCACCGCUGCGGUGGAACACCACGAUUCAGAAAUCUAAAGCAGGGACCGGAGAUGAUUACAGCAGAGUGCAGAGUUAAAUCAGGCGUAACUGCUACAUAGCUCCCAACUCAACUAAUCCGAAGAUGAAAUGAGUUCAUCUCUACUUGUCAAACGGGGAUAAAAAAUGGCGAUUAGAACCCACAGCUUAUGAGAGGUUAACAAUCUCGACUUCAGUUUGAAAUUAGCCACUCAAAGAUAUACAAACUACAGCUGGUAUCAUAAAAACUCAGAACAGUGUGUCUAUGAUUUUAAAGUUAGGCACAGAGUAUCAACAGCAGUCAUUGUCCUGAAAAGAUUCAGGCAGUAUGCAUCUUAGGCAUAGCAUUUCAGUAGGCGGUACAAGAUUACUACCUGACAUUACCUCAACCCUUGCAUCUCAUCAGCAAGUUCAGCAAGUGUCUUGGUAAAGCAGUAGGACCAAACAUGUAACAGCACCUGAUGCAUCCAUCAAAAUGUGCGGUAAAAAUGAGAGUUUAAUUAUGCAUGCCCUGUCAUGAUCGAUAUAUGCAUGCAUGUAUACUUUUGGACGAGUUUAAUUAUGCCUCUUGGACACACACACACACACACACACCCACAUGUACUGUUUAAGCUGAACUUGCUGUGACUUGAUUGAAAAUACAUCGGCAUGUUAAAUCUGUAAAAAUGCUAUUACUGGAUACGUCUCAGCACAACAUCGCAUCUGUCAUCGAACAUUAAACAUACAGUAUUCAAACACAUGGUAUUUCUGGUUGCAGGUUCUGAAAUCUACAUACUGUAGCUUCUUCCACAUGGGAAAUCAUAGAUAGAGAUUAGAACACCAAUGCAUGGAGCACACAACAUCAAACUACCAAUAGUUUCAGUCAAAUUCAGGAUUGUUACAAGUGGAGCACCUCUAGGUCAUAAUGCCAGAGCACCAAACAGAUUUCCAGCCAAAAGCUCCAUUGCCACAAUUCCUACCACUACUCCCCUAUCAGAACAGAACACCAUUGAUCAUGCGCAAAAUUAUGCUGGUGAGGCCUGAUGGUCACCGCCAGUGGAACACAGGGAAUCAGAAACUGAAAUCCGGGUUUCAGGAGAUAAUCAGGCAUAACUGCAACACAGCUCCCAACUCAACUAACCCGAAUUUGAAAGGAGUUCAUCUCUAUUUGUCAAGCGGAAAUAAAGAUGGCAAUUAGUACUACCUUCAGCUUAUCAGAAGUUAACAAUCUCGAUUUCAGAUUGGAAUUAGACACUCAAAGAUACAAACAACUGCUGAUAUCCUAAAAAUUCAGAACAGUAUAGCUAUCAUUUUGAAGUUUGGAACUAAAAAUAUCAACAUCAGUCAUUGUUCUAAGAUGGCUCAGGUAGGCAUUACAUUUUUCUUUUUGACGGAAUAGGCGUUAUAUUUUAGCUGGCAAUACAGUAGGCAUAGCCUUCUACCUCACGUGUAAUAGUUCAUUACCUUAGCCUUUGCAUCCCAUCAGCAAGCUUUUUUUGGCGGCGCACCAAAACCAAACAUCUACCGGCAUUCUCCUAGGCUCCUGCUAUGGGCAUUCUCCAUGGUUCCAUUUAACCAAGUGAACUUCCUUUUCUUCUUGCUAGGAGUUGAAAAUUUGGCAUUUGUGAUUGUGACGGUUAAAUGAAAUGGAGAUACUCCUCAGUCACAGACCAGGUGAAUAAGUUCUGUGCACAAGUGCAGCAGAAAAUUUACAUUAGACAAAUUAGCUUCACUUUUCUUUUGUUUGAGAGAGAGUUAGCUGGAAUUUCUGAGUAAAACGUAAGUCUAAUCCCAGUGAAAAAAUCAAGCUAUCUUAACGUCCAAUUUUGAUCAAGUAAACUCAAUAUUUCCGAGAUAGUUAGAGUAUCCACCGAUCCUAUUUGAACCUAAUACCAAUUCAUUCAUAUCCAUACAAAUAUAAAGCACACAUCAACACAAACAUUAAUCCUAUUAAUCUUCAUACAUUAAUCCUGUUUGUCCCUUAAGUUCUUCUCUAUUUCAAUCAUGGAGUUCAGGAAAAGGAAGUUAACUUACCUCAGUUUAAGUCACUGAGCAGGAAAAAAAUUAGCAACAGCAGCCCAGAUCUAUUGACCACUGCAGACGCAACAGAACAGAGGCACCCUGCAUCCCAAGGCUGAGAAAGCAACUUAGAAUCACCAUGCUGGUGGGCACUUCAUCACCCAGGUAUAACUUUUACUAAUUCAUGAAUUAAUAUUUUUGCUUUCACUGAAUACAUACUAUUUCUCAUUUUUUAAUGUUCUUUUCAGAUCGAUAUGGUUGUGGUCUUUCAUGUCUUUUAUAACAUGGAAAAUGGUGGUAUAUGAUAGACAUCGAACGGUAAACUCAGUACUAACUGAGUUCCCUAAAAAAAUAACCUUAGUACUAACUGAAAUAUGAUGGAACGGAAAAUACAAUGAAAUCUAGCAAACUGAACAUGCUAAAUAAACAUUGUCAUGAAAGCAGAUGACACUGAUAUUUUUAGUGGAAACGAAGGACUCUUCUGUUAUUCUUACUGGAAAGUUGGUCCAUUGACCACUCACACAUCCAAUUUCCAUGAUCCCCAACGUUAGUUAGAAACACAAACAUAUCGAUUGGACUUCUCAUUAUCGAAAAUCAGCUCUAAGCAAUGACAACAGCAGCAUAUCGGGGGUUCAGGAAUCAAAUUAUCAAGUACAUCAAGAGUUAGCAAUGACCAAACUAGCAUGUAACAGAGACACUAAAAGAUAGCAGACAUCCAGUUAGGCAUAGAACACCGAGACAGGAGUUACCAGCUU